rnacentral:rRNA from 1 species
AUUGAACGCUGGCGGAAUGCUUUACACAUGCAAGUCGAGCGGCAGCACGGGGGCAACCCUGGUGGCGGGCGGCGAACGGGUGAGUAAUACAUCGGAACACGCCCAGUCGUGGGGGAUAACACUUCGAAAGAAGUGCUAAUACCGCAUACGUCCUGAGGGAGAAAGCGGGGGAUCUUCGGACCUCGCGCGAUUGGAGUGGCCGAUGUCAGAUUAGCUAGUUGGUGGGGUAAAGGCCUACCAAGGCAACGAUCUGUAGCUGGUCUGAGAGGAUGAUCAGCCACACUGGGACGGAGACGCGGCCCAGACUCCUACGGGAGGCAGCAGUGGGGAAUUUUGGAGAAUGGGGGCAACCCUGAUCCAGCCAUUCCGCGUGAGUGAAGAAGGCCUUCGGGUUGUAAAGCUCUUUCGGCAGGAACGAAACGGCGAGCUCUAACAUAGCUUGCUAAUGACGGUACCUGAAGAAGAAGCACCGGCUAACUACGUGCCAGCCGCCGCAGUAACAC